CAAAGACUUUGAAAACCUGUGAGCAGAUUCCCAAGCAUGCCGAAUGAGUUUAUUAACUGAGUCCUGAGUCAAAUGAAUGUCAUGAUUUAGGAUAUUUUGCAUCAAAUUGAAUAACGAUUCUGUCCAUACCAAUUUAUUGCCAAUUAAGCAUUGAUGAUAGGGAAGGCAGACGAAUUUCUUCAGAUCGUCUUCGUCACUGAG
rnacentral:misc_RNA from 1 species